AAGUUCAUCAUGCUCGUGCGGAAAGUGCGACUGUUUGGUCGCAAUCAACGUAAAUUUAAGAAUAUUUGGAUAUACAGGGUGUUUCCUAAGAUUUUAAUUGAAAUAUAUAUAAGAAUGACCCGCUCGAAGAAAAUGCGAGGAGGGCAAAGUCAUCCAUAAUUAACCAGGAAAAAGGAUAUUUAACGGAUAGCGGUAAAGGAUCCUUAUCCUCGCAACGGCAAAGUGCACCUGGGCCCGCACUUUUUGAAUCUGCUGGUGAACGAGUAGUUACCGCGCAGGAGAUAAGUACUCGUUAGGAAUCGUCAAGGCGUGACAACUUGAUGCGUAUGCGCUAAAGGGCUCUGCGAUAAAAAAAGAUAGAAGAAAAUAAGGCCUCGCUGUGAGUGUCAAUGAUUUAUUUUCCGUUACAUUACAGCACUCUCCUAACA